UAACGCGAUGGAUUUUAUAUUCACAACACAAUAUAAGUUGGGAAUAGAUUUCAUAAAUAAUGCAAAGCGACCUUAUUACAAGUUCGUUUCACACAACUGAGUUCUCUUUGAAUUAAGUCCGUUUAAAUUCGAGAUUUGGCGGUACCAGUGAAGCUUAAAUCGAAUGUUAACACAUUGAGUGGAAAGAGGCGUUGUUGAACAUCUUCGGCGUGAGUUAAAGCCAAGCUAUGUGCAGGAUGCGACGCUUAGAAGUCAAGUCUAUAUUUUUACAAACCAAGUGACCCGAAACGAACAUUCCAUCGACACAAAGAAAAGUGUUCCGUCGCGUGCCACCCAAUAAAGUGUAACAAUGCAGCGAUCAAGCCCAUGAAACGAAGAACAAAAGAGCGAAAUUACAACACGUUCGAAGAAAGGAGCAAAGGACGCGUGCUGCAUGGGGGAGUAACAAAGAUGAGGGCAUUCUCCAGGGGAUGAAGGUUCGAAAGGCAAGGUUGAGCAAGGUUGAGCAAGGUUACCCUCACUUUCCAGUAAGGUAGUGAAACAUUUCCGCCAAGAGCGUAACACCGCAGGCACCACCUUAGAAAUGUGGCGUCCAGAAAGUACUAUGUUUUCUUGGGGGUGAAAAUUAAUCAGAUUCACGUUCUGGGCAGCCUUUGAGCUACUACAAUCUACUGAAACGAAAUGAAUUGCUGUUUUUCAAUAGACGCAUCAUCCAUUUAGACGAACUUAGGCAAACAUUUGUAGUUCGUCUGGUUAUGUAUCUCUAGUACAAACACGGGCACAAGACGUAUUAUGCGUCUAGACAAACUCGGCUAUACUUCGUAAUGCGUCUUGAACGACGCACUACGAAAGAAAGUUUUUCCUGGGCGCAUAGUACGUCUUGUGCCUGUCUUUAUACUAGAGAUGCAUAACUAGCCAAACUACAAAUGUUUGCCCAAGUUCGUCCAGACGGAUGAUGCGUGUUAAGCAUAAAAAUGGCCAACGUUACACGGUGGCGCUGCAGAAGAUACCGAUUUUAUGUCCGGGUAGUAAGGGCUGUAUCUCUCGAGCGGGUCUUCCGAACAAAAUGUGGAGGGGUCAGUGUACAUUAGACGUUGACCUAUCAAACCCAAGAACCUGAAUUCUCGAAAACCCGAAAAACCGCCCCUAAGUUCAAUGUGAGACAUGUGAUUUCACUCAUGUCCCAGAAAGCAAGAGGUCCUGAAAUUCGUAAGGGGUAGAGCAUUAACCCUGUGCAAUUCGCAAUUAGGUACCACACCCAAACAAUGGAUCACUACAUUCACCCAUCUACAAAUAAACGUAAACAAUAUGAAAGAACGUCUUUCCCUGGAAGCUACACCUUUUAUCCGAGACCACUUCUCCGUCAACGAGCAUAUCCGUUAUAUUCAGUUGCAUCCGCGAGGACUGGCGGCGUAAAUUAUGCAAAUGACACUGAAAAAAGAAUUCAGUUUUUGAAAUUUUUUAUUUCGUGUUUUUGCGAUCAAUUUUAUAACAUUUACGAUCAGACUCCAAAUAGACUAGUUUUAAAUUUGAAACAAGAACUAACAAACUUUGGAAAAGGUAGAAGAGAACAAAAAUAAGGCAAAAGAGGCGAA